UAUAAAUGAAGCCUGAAUUCUGACUGGGGUAAGAUGGUUCUCUAGGACAUUAGUUGGCCACCUUCUCAGUCUGCUGGCUUUCCAAAUAAAGUUCCCACAAUAACUUGUCUCCUGACUUACUGCCUGUCAUGCAGCAAGCAGAAUGACUUUAGACUUAGUAACAGAUGUACUGUGUAAUGAGGUGUAAUCUGUGGAAUCACUCCAGGCUCUUGUGUUCUGAAAGCUUAGGUCCUUACUCUAAUGAACUAUCUUCCUUUAUUAUGAGAGAGAUUUUCCUGAGAAGCUGUCUGUAAACCAUUUAUUUCUCUAUAAAAUCUUAUUCCCAUCCCACUCAUGGCAUUUGUUAUCAUAUUGCCUUUAAUACAAACAACUCCCCAAAUGUAUCUGUUUCCCAUAUUUAAGUUCUGGAAACUUCUCUUAGAAUCUCAGAAUUUCAGAGGUUGCCACAGAAGGGAGAUUGGGAAGAGAAGAGAGGGAAUGGCGUUUAAUGAUUGUCUUUGGUUUCUUUUUCAAAAAAUAGCUGUACAAAAUCAUAUGUGCACAACAACAGGAAACAAAAGCUACAACUGCCCUCCCAUCACUAAUUUCAAUUCCAGGGAAAACUAUGCUAUCUGAAGCAUUUGCUUGUUAAAGACCCUACUUUAACUUUCAAAUAUUAUUGAGUGUUUAUAAGUCAUGCCCACGUCUCAGGUUCUGAUUUCACAUUACCCAAAACCCUAUUUGAGUACCUACUGUGUGCCUCGUACAUAGAAAAAUUUGUAUAAGGUGUGAUCCUUUGCUCUCCAGAAGUUUGCAUUCUACUUCCAGAAGGCAGGCCCUGCAAACACUGCACGGAAUUCUACGGAGUCAUGAGCACACGAUUCUUAUGUAGCUGAGAAGAGGGCACAGAAUACCCUAGAGGCCAUUGGGCAGGGGCUCAAGUGGCCUGUAGGGUGGCCUGACCCUGCCACUGCCUCCUGGAGCUAUUUAGGGGAUGUGGCAGUAAACAGCAUGAUGCCUGUCGUUAUUUUCUCCUCUGACCCACCCCCCAUCAUGGGAGGAGCCCAGGCCUGACUUAGCAGGGUUCUUAGACUUGUCAGGAGCCAGAAGACAUCGUGGGGGAGGGCUGUGAGUAAUAGGAGCCUUAUGCUUGCGGUUGCUACAGGAGGGGGGCGAUCAGGUGCUCCCCAGAUAGCCUUCCAAGAUGCUCUCAAGAUCACAUCCUGCCCCAUUGCCUCAUCCUGCUAAUCGGACCCUAAAACAAGGUUUGGCUUGCCUUUGAGAAAUCUGCUUGACCUGAAACAGUAGGUGAUAUACCUAGAGUCCACAAAGCUUCUCCCAGAUGUGCUAUCCAAAGCUGACAUUCCUCUUGAAGAACAGAGGAAGCAACUACAAGCUCUCCAUUCCCUCCCAACCCAUCUGUGCCUUCCAAGGAAAAUUUACCCAGGCAGGCUCCCAGCAAGAAAGCAGCUGUCUGUGAAUCAGAAGGAUUAUUCUCACCAGAUACCAGGUCUGCUGGCGCCUUGAUCUAGGACUUCCAGCCUCCAGAACUGUGAAAAAUAAAUAUUUGCUGUUUAAGCCACCCAGUCUAUUUCUUCUGAAACUGACACUCUACUAUGUACCUGGACAUUUUAUUUGCCUUAGUGUUCUUACAAGUUGCAAGGCUUGGUACACUUUUAUUUCACAACCAAUGUGAAAGAGAACCCAUCAGCUUCCAAAGAGAAGAGACUCAUUUGUUGUGCUCAGUAACAAAUGAGGAAUCUGAAGAACAUGUUUUCAACAAUUUCCAUGGUGGUCUUACAACCAGAUGCCCUAGAAUCCCCAGAGCACUUCGCUCUACUCACCAUUCCACCCAAAUCCACUGGAGACAUGUGAAAUUCACCAAGAAUAGAGUCACUUAGAAAUCCACGGACUUGGGAGCACAGAAUGAGCUUAUUAUAUUGAUAGAGACAUGAUGUUAUUUCCUUAGUAAAUAAAAUCAAUAUAAAUAAGCUUCUAUAACUUUUACUGUGGUGUGACCUACCAAAUCCUACUGGAUUCCAAAGCUCUUUAUUCCUGUACUGUUUGAAGUUUUAGUAGUAAAUACAUGUUUUCCAUUUCUCUUAGCUGAAUAGAUAGGACUAAAAGUUCUGGGUCUUAUAAGCAUGCUUAACUUUAUAAGAAACUGUCAAACUUUUCUAAAGCGAUUGCGCCGUUUUACAUCCCUACCGGCGAUAGGAGAGUUUCAGUUGUUUUACAGACUCUCCAAAAGGUGACAUUGCCAGUCCUUUUCAUUGUAGCCCGUCUAGUGGUAACAAAAAGAAAGGCAAUAAACAGCAGAAAGCCAUGAAACAGAAAAAGGAAAACCAGUAAAGAAAAACUGAUGAAACUAAAAUCUGUUUACUUUUUGAAAAU